GGAUGUGAAGGUGAUCUGGCUGCAAUAUCUGUUACCCCACUGAUUGCCAGGGUUGAUUCGGCUGAUCUGGCUGGCUAGGUGGGUGUCCCUUUCCUCCCUCACUGUCCCGUGUUCAUCCCUCCUGAAGCUGUGUGCUCAGUUGAGCAGGACAACCAUCCCCGUUAGAGGAGGACUGGUUUGGUCAACGGAAUACGAGUGGCUGCACUCCCCUGCUAGAACCUCCAGACAAGCUCUCAAGGAAUCUUCUGACCUUAACAUUUGGUGCUUUGGGAUGGACAUUUGUCUUGGCAGCUUAGGUGCUGCCUGAGAU
ensembl:misc_RNA 7SK 7SK RNA